rnacentral:lncRNA from 1 species
UCAUGCUCAUGUUUGUAUUGACUUUUACAAAACACUUUCCUUAUAACAAUCUUAUAAGGUAGGUUGUGUAUUUAUACCCAUUUUACAGAUGGAAGAACUGAGCCUCAGAAAGUUAAAGUAAUUUUUCUAUGGUCACAAACUUAGUAAGUUUCAGAGGUGGGAUUCAAACUACAGAACCUUUUAAUCUGCAUUAUACCACCUUCGGUAUAGAAUAGGGAACAAAUAAAGUAUUUUUGUUGUUGUUUAAUUGUUCAGUCACUUCUUACUCUUUGUGACCCCAUAAACCAUAGCUAUCCAUGCUGUUUUCUUGGUAAGGAUAAUGGAGUGGUUUGACAUUUCCUUCUCAGUGGAUCCAGUGGAUCCUUUAUCAGUGGUAUUAGAGGUUGAAGAUCCUCCUUCAGCCUAAGCAUGGGUGCCAUGACGUGAAGCUUGGGGAAAGAGGUGCCUAAUGGAACAAGCUUAAUCCUGCUUCCACAUGAAAGUCUUUCCAGUACUUGAAGCUAUCAUGUCAUCAUUUACCACUUGCAUCUUCUCUUCUCCAAACUAAGUAUCUCCAGUUCUUCAAUUAAUCCUUAUACAUAAUGGAACCCAUCCCCAUUCUGGCUGUGCUCCUCUGUACUCUCUUCAACUUAUCAAAAAAAAAUUUUUUUUGUAAAAUGUAGUACCCAAAGCUGAACACAGUUCUUUAUAUGUGAUCCAACAGGUCAUAGUACUGUGGAACUGUUAUCUCUUUAUUACUAGAAGUGAUUUCUUUGCUAAUAUGACCCAAGAUCUCAUUAGCU